UACGAAGGGGGCUAGCGUUGUUCGGAAUUACUGGGCGUAAAGCGCACGUAGGCGGACAUUUAAGUCAGGGGUGAAAUCCCGGGGCUCAACCCCGGAACUGCCUUUGAUACUGGAUGUCUGGAGUAUGGAAGAGGUGAGUGGAAUUCCGAGUGUAGAGGUGAAAUUCGUAGAUAUUCGGAGGAACACCAGUGGCGAAGGCGGCUUACUGGUCCGGUUCUGACGCUGAGGCGCGAAAGCGUGGGGAGCAAACAGG
rnacentral:rRNA from 1 species